rnacentral:rRNA from 1 species
CCGGAGGUUACUGCUAUCGGUGUUCGCCUCACUCAUGCGAGUCAUAUGUUCUUCGUGAACAUGGCGUACUGCUCAGUAACACGUGAAUAACCUGCCCUUGGGACCGGCAUAACCCCGGGAAACUGGGGAUAAUUCCGGAUACCGCAUAUAUGCUGGAAUGCUUUAUGCGUGAAAUGGAUUCGUCUGCCCAAGGAUGGAUCUGCGGCCUAUCAGGUAGUAGUGGGUGUAAUGUACCUACUACCCUACAACGGGUACGGGUUGUGAAAGCAAGAGCCCGGAAAUGGAUUCUGAAACAUGAAUCCAGGCCCUACGGGGCGCACCAGGCGCGAAAACUUUACAAUGCGGGAAACCGCGAUAAGGGGACACCGAGUGCCAGCAACAUUUGUUGGCUGUCCAGGUGUGUAAACUACACCUGUUAGCAAGGGCCGGACAAGACCGGUGC